CUAUACUGGGUAGUUGUUGUUGCCAAAAUGCGUUGAAUUGUCCUACGGACUUCCAAAUCCAAAUUCGAACAUGCUCCUAAAUCCAAAAUCACCAUACGAAACUAUUGGAGUCAUCAAAAUUCCUUUCGGGGUCGUUUGCUCAAAAGUCAAAUCUCCGGUCAAACUUAUGAAAUCUUUAGCCUUAGAUUUCUAGAUUCCAUUAAAUGACGAUAAUUUGAUCUAGGGACCUCUGAAUUCGAUUUCGGGCAUAUGACCAAGCUCCAAAUCACGAUACGGAACUACCGGAAUAGUCAAAACUUGGAUACAGAUUCGUUUGCUCAAAAUGUUGACCGAAGUCAACUCAGUUGAAUUUUAAAGCUCUAAUUCAUAAUUUAAUUCAUUUUUCAUAAAAAAACUUUC
rnacentral:lncRNA from 1 species